CGCCCCUUGUGCCUGCCUUCUCAACAUCAAUAGUCCCAGCUGCCAAGGAAAUACACAGGGAGCCAUAGUCACGGCUGGAAAGUAGUUAAAACAUGGUGGCGACAUCUAGAGGAUGUGCAGCAGCAUGUGUGGGCCGUGCCGGCUCAGACCCACUGCACAGAGCAGACGCUCCUCACCUCCCCUCCCCUGCCCGAUCGCAUGAAAAAGAUUGUGCAAACAGAUUUGUAUCCAAACUACAUCAUCCAGGCUAUGGAGCUAAUGCACCAUGCACAUUUUGGGAUUGUUGGUUGCGAUUGAGCAACCCUGCCAACACCUGCACUACCAAACAAAGACAAGAGGGCAAGGAAUAGCAGAAUGGUGGUUCAUGGGUUCAUCGAAUGAUGCCAAGGAUUCUUCUCAUUCUCUAAGCUUCUACACAGGCUUGGGAACAAUGAGUCCUGAGAACAAGUUGUAUCUUUGUUGGGGGUGUCUGAAACAUUGAAGGAAUAUGUUCUGCUGUCAUUUUUUUCCUAUGUUUCUAGAAAGUAAUCAUAUAGAUAAAAUGGGUUUAAGUGUAUUAUACCGCUCAUAAACUGGGUACCAUUUAACAGGUGCAUGCAAGUCAAAUAUUGUCUGAAUUUGACCAGUAAAAUAUUUUUUUUUUUAAAGCAA